rnacentral:lncRNA from 1 species
CAAAUGAGGUUUCUUCUUCCUAAUCUCCUUUUUUUUUCUUUUUCCUGGUCACCUUUUUUCUUCCCAAUUCCAUUUUCUCAUUCUUUUCUAUACUGCUGCUACUUCUUUGCUCGAUGUAGAAGGUAUUGAGUUUGACUCUUGGGCAUAGAGGAAGUGGAUUCAAAUUCAAGCUACAAAGAUCUGGAUUACCCAAUAAACCUGAAAUGAAGAGCUCAUUAUUGAAACCCGGCAACUAAUAAAAUUUCUAGGUAGUUGGAUUUUUUUCUGUUGGGUUUUUUUUUUUUUUGUUUAAUUUGCUUUCUUUUUAGCUCAUAGGUUUUGGGUUAUCUCUAUUUUUUACUUAAAAUCUUGAUUCAUCUUCAUUUUUGGAUUUUCUCAUUCAAUUUUGUUCCUCUUUUUUUAGUUUCUAAGUAGUUAAAGUUUUUUCUGUUUGUUUCUUGAGAAAAUAUGAGAAAGAACAAAAUACAUUUUUUUUUGCACAUCAAUGGCUACAUAAGAGACCCAAGUUUCUUUUUUUUAACCUGUAAAACACUAAAUAUAGAUUCUCUCACUUUAGAAUUGUAGGUAUACACUAGCAAACCAUGAAAAAAACCCACUACUUUAUUUAUGUUGCAGAUCUAAGAUAUGCAUAAUUGUACAUCCCAUAAAAAACCAGAAUUGUGUAAUCCAGCACUAUUAUGUAAUUUGUGAAAAAUAGAUAGUCGGCAAUGGCAACAAAUUGCAAAAGAAACAGAAAGAAAAAUAAAGAACACACAGAUUUUUACGUGGAAACCCUUGCGGGAAAAAACUACAGGUAGAGGAGAAGAUAAUUCACUAUGUCAAAUUUGAAUAAUUACAAGAUGAGUAGACUAUGUCUAUUUAUACAUGAGUAAAAUCAUAUUCUAAUAAAGUAAAAUAGAAGUAAUGCAGUAAGGUUAAAACACCUUAUUCAAAUCAAUAUUAAAUAGAGGAAAUAUAUUUUUAUUCAAACUUCUCUUGCACACUUGUAUUUUUCCAUUCGUAUUGUAUUUUAUCAUGAAUUUGGGUCACAUAUCUAACAUAAUUGAAUGCUAGAAUUUUUUUUCCUAAUACAACUCUUAAGGUUUUCUAUAUAUUAGUACGAUCAAUGUACUGUAACACUUCCAAUGAGUUUAAUUUCAAUAGUUCAUAUGUUUAAUUGCUUUUUUCUCUUAAUUUCUAAAAAACAAAUAAAUUAGAAAUUUUGAAAUAAAUUGAUUGUAAUUUUUUCUAACAUUAGUUCAGUAAUUUGAUAAAUUAACAAAAUUUUUCAACUUAGAAUUGAUUGGAUGGUGAGAAAGUGAGGGAAAAUUUUUUAAGUUCCUAACAAAAGAAAGAAAGAAAAAGAUAAAGCUAGAAAAAGAAAAAGAAAAAAAAUAAAAGGAAAUAAGGGGAAAAAACAAAAAAAAAGGUACAAUAGGAUGUCAAGUGGCGACGUGUGAUUUGCCAAUGUUGCCACAUCAGCAAUAAUUAACACUAUUAGUCUCAAGUACCAAUAUAAUGGAUAAAAAAAAUUAGGUAAGUAUCAAUCUAGGAGAAAUGAACAAGUUCGGGUACCAAUUUUAUAUUUAACGCUUAAAAAUUUAUGUUAAAUAAAAGUUAAAAAUAUAAUUAAAACAUAAAAAAGUUGUCAUCUUCUUUCUCAUUUUCACUCUAUCGUUUUUUCAAUCAAAUUUACCCUAAGGAAGCCAUUUUUAAGAGCUUGAGGUUCGAUCAUUGCAUAUCAAGAACAAAAUCAACUAAAACUUAGUCGAGGAAAAUGGAAUAUUGUAGACUAGUCCCUGACAUCACAAUUUGGCAUCGGAAGGGUUAAAAAUAGAGAAAAAUGCAUACCUCGUUUAUGGAACUGCUGGUCCAAAUAUCACUGAAGCAGAGGUCGAUCGGGGAUGGAGUUGAAGUCCAUAUCAAAACAAAACCAUUAAAGGGUUAUGUGGAAUAUGAUAAGAUAGUUAAUCGAUUUCAGUCUAUUGAUCUUCUCCAGA